CUUCUACUUCCUUAGCUCCAAGUGCGCUUCCGUGGACACUGUAACUGUUUGACUUGUUGGGCGAGCCAAAACCAAUGGUUGUAGUCACCUUGAUCAAAGUGGGUUUGUCUGUCACUGCUUUUGCUUCCUUAAUGGCAGCACGAAUCUCAUCAUAACCAGUGUUACCGUUCUUCACCCAGAUUACAUGCCAACCGAGAGCCUCAUAACGGGCAGCAACAUCCUCGGUGAAGGCGAUUUCUGUGUCACCAUCAAUUGAGAUGUGAUUGUCAUCAUAGAAAGCAAUCAGCUUUCCGAGCCCCCAGUGUCCAGCAAGAGAAGCAGCUUCUUGUGAAAUACCCUCCAUCUGACAACCAUCACCAAGAAUACAAUAGGUGUAGUGGUCUACAAUCUCAGCAUCCGGCUUAUUGAAACGAGCAGCCAAGUGCUUCUCUGAGAGGGCCAAGCCAACAGCAUUGGCAAUCCCUUGUCCCAGAGGCCCAGUA
rnacentral:misc_RNA from 1 species